AGUGACCUCACUUUGGAGCCCGCAGUCGUGUCCACUGGCAACGCAGGGUCGGUGCCGAAGAGCAUUGUCGACGGAUCGCCGAAGCGGCCCCCUCUCUCUCCUGCCUAAAGCCCUAGAGACGAACAUCUAUAUCGGCCCUUGGAAGAGGAAGGAGAAGUCGGGUAGAGUACUCAUCGUCAUCCUCGCCAACAUCGUCUGAGUCUCAAGAUUCCGCGGUGCGGUCGUGAGAUCGCAAGGUGAGAUGUCAGGUGAUUGCUGAUUGUGUGAUGAUAAUGGGUUCGUCGAAGACGUUCCUUGUCUCCUGUGGUAUUGAUGCUUGUCAUUGUAACCUUGAUUGACAUCGGGGAGGAGGGGUUUAGGGAACCGUGGGAUUUUAUCGAUUCAUGGCUUACGACGAGCAUUCGCAUGACGUCUGCUCUUUCUUUUGAGAUCGGCUGACAUGUAUGUUGCAAUUGCUAAAGCAGAUCCGUAUUAGCUCUGUUUCUGGCACAAUGCAGCUGUUCUCUUCCCUUUCAGUUGCUUUUUGUUCCCCUUCUAUUGUCUAUGACCACGGCGCGAUACUUAUCCGGUGCGACUCCUCAGAUUCCGGCAUGGAAUCUUGUUCGAUCUGCUCCCGCAUUCUUCUGGCAGUCGGAAGAUGCCGCGUUACCAUCUGAGGAAGGUGAGAAAAACUAUCGAUCUUGCAAAUGCGUUAUACGUUCUCUCACCUUCAAAGUUCAUUGGAAUUUUUGGCUUUUGAUUUCUUCUCCAAGUCGAUGCAAUUGCGUAAAUUCCCUCUUGCUGGCAGAGAGAGCUAGUGUGAGAAGAUCAAGGGAGCAUGAUUCUGAAGGAGUUUCCUUAUUUUUGGAUUGCCUAUCAGCAAGAGAACUGUUGCCAUCUUCUACUGUCUCCGUUUCUACUGUUGUUUGAGACUGACUUGGUUAUUCAAACUUUUCGGUUGAUCGAAGCAUAGAGAAUUAACCUGGUUGCUCAAGAUUGUCUCUCGAUGGAGGCAGCAAAGUCAGUACUUUCGACUCUAAAAUGUCAAUUUGGCCCUCUUAAUGUCAUCACAAGUCAAGCUAUACCAUGGGGCAAGAUUAGAUUUACUAAUAAGCUAGUCCAAGGGCAUCUAGCUGUGGAAGAAAAGAAAGAGAAAACAUGUUGCUGGACUAGUACCCAAGGUUGUUCAAAACUAUUUUGUGAGAGUAGUAUAAUUUCUAUCUGUUCUGCGGGCUUCUUGAUAAGCCUGAAGUUAUUUAAUUCGUUGUGGUGCCAAUAUUAAACAAGUUGUAGAGCUGCUUCAUGUUCAUGUUAUCUAAUUCUUGGGCUGAUAUUAUCUUCUGAAGUUGCAUGAAGAUUAUGAUAGAGCUGGCCAGGAUACCGAUGAAUGGAAAGCCAGGGAGAUUGUGAAGGACAUAGCAAGCCAGGGAGUUAUUAUUUCAAUAGUUCACCGUCUCUUUUUUGCAUGAUCUUUCAAUGAUUCUCCUAGCAAUUUUUUCUAGUGCUCUUUUGAUGUGAUUUGAAUUGUUAUCAAUAUGUAGCUUUAGGGUUACCCAAUUCCAUUUCUUUUUCUCAGGUUAGAAGAACAUGAGAUGCUUAUAAUAAGCUUGGAGGAAGGCCUAUGAAAUAUUAAUAUCAUACUUGUCUGUGUCACAACAUGCUGACUUUUUUUUGCUAAAUUAAACUGAAGUAUUAUUUUAGUUGUCGGGCACCUGAUGACCUGAGUUUCUCCCUUGUUGGACUUUGAAGCUUUUGCAAAAUGUUAAAUAAUUAAUAGUGUUUGAUUUACAAGGUCAUGGAUUUUAUUUAUCUUCUUAUGUUUUGUAUAAUUAUUUGAUUGGGGAACACUGGAGUAUUCUCCUUUGAUUAGGAAGUCAAGAGGUUGCAGACGUUAAGCAAUGUCUUCAUCUUAUUGCCAUCUCCUGAAGAUGACGAAUUUCAAUAUUUUGUUAUUAUUGUUCUUAGCUGUUUGAUUUUGUCAGAACUUGGAAGGACAAGAUUGGCUUGCAUUGAUUGCCAGCCGAUUUUGUGUUUGUUAUGGCACUGACUGGUUUUAUGCUUUACUAGUAUGACUUCGGUGGUGUUUCUAAUCUCAUCAUCUCAUGUGGGUGAAUUGAGUAAAAAGACCUUGCAGCAUGUUUAUUGUUUUGGAAGUUUUGAAUUCCAGUUUCUUCCUGUGGCUACCUCUGGAUGCAGACGGGUGAACUGAGACACUGAGUGCAGCCAUCACCGCCUGGAGAUGAAGUCUGGGCAUCAGACCUCAUCCAACCGAAGUAAUGUAUUUACAAGCAUUAUAUGCCUCAUCUUGCCUCGUGUGAGAAGGGUGUGUAGUCUUCUUAAAAGCUUGAGAUGUCCAAUUGUGCAGUUUUAUUGAAGCAAGCUUAUUUCUGAUAUUUCUAGCAUGUUAACUUUGAGAAGGCAAUAGAAAUGCAUUUUGACGUGCAAUUUGCUACAUUGUAACAGCAUUUUGAGAAGGUAACUAGCAAAAUGUUAUGUAGCACUGCAUAUUGGAUGUGUUUAUAUAGAUGGAAAAUAGAGAGAGAGAGAGAGAGAGAGAGGGAUUAGUUUUUUUUCCUUCGAUAUAUUUUGCUUAUCAGCAACUGAUAUAUUACUAAUUUCUUCUCGUUUACAAGUGGCUGACACAAACAGCACGGUAAUAAAACUAAUGACACGAGGAGUUGAGCUUGAUGAUCCCAUUAUGGUCCUUGGCGAGGUAUGUCUUCCAACCAUUAAUCUGGUCACUUGAUUUUACAGGUAGCUGCCUUGCAAUACCUUGAUGAGCAUAUGUUGCGUCUCUUUGAAUCUGCAAGAGAACUUGUACCAGUUCUUGUUUGCAACCACAAUGUAAGCUAGUUGAAUGUUUGAAGAGGAGAGCUUCUCAGCAGCACCAAGAUGGUUGAUUCAGGACACCGCAUCAAGUUCUUUUUUCUCAAUAUAUUGGAAGCACUCGGGAAUCUUCUUCGUUUGGGUUGCAUUGCAAGAUAAGGAUUGUUCCCUUAUCCCGAUCAAUCAAAGCAGUGCAGAGAGUGUGACGUGCAAACCUGUCAUUUUAGCCAAUCAAACGAUUCAGAAAUGUGAGAAUUUUUCUCUGCAGCCUAGAGUUGGAAGUGCUGAUGCUUGACUUUCUGAUAAGAGUUAUCAUCUUGAACCUUCAUGAAGUAGCAGACAAGGUUACGUGGAAACAUGCACUUGUAGCUUGAUGCACCAACAUGGUAUAAUUCAUGCUUUAAUUAGUUGUCUGCCCUACCACACUUCUAUGAUGCAGAAACAUGUCAUGAAAUUAUAGCUGUGUCCAAUAGAAAUGUUGCAUCUAUUCUCCAUGGUGACGCACCAUGUCAGCCUCGGUGAGUGGCUCCUACAUUUCUCCCAAAGCCUUCGGUCGAGAUUUCCUGACCCAUUGAAGGUAUGGCAUUAAGCAUAAAUAUCUGUUGCAAUAUUUGCAUCCUCAGAAUGCUUCAGCAGCUCUCAUAUGAAGAGCAGGGCGAAAUGGAUGAUUUCACAGUGCCAUCGCUGAUGAGGGCAGGGAUGGCCAUGGAGUUAUCAAGAACACGUGAAUCAUCGUCAUCAACCUCCUUCAGAAGGAACAGAAUUGGCAAUAUCAUCUUUUGAGGGUAUGUGCUUAUGUAUACAACCAUUGCCAAUGCGUUGGACUUGAGAUCAGACAAAAAAACAAGUUUCAUGCGUCAGAACCCUAAUCACUGUGGCCUCUAUUCUUCAAUGCGCAACCAAAAAGGACUACAAGCCUCGUUUCAUACUUUUCCCAUUUGGGAACUUAAACUGUAUAUUGUAUCAGUGAGAUCCAAUAGGAACCCUGCGGUUCUGUCAUGUCGUACUAUUGCCACUUGUUUAAGAAUAUGACACAAAAGCCAAUGUAACUGUGGCCUUCACGAUCUGUCAAUCUAGUUUUUACCCUA